AAAGCUUUCGGGCCCAUACCCCGAACAUGUUGGUUAAAUCCCCUCCUUUACUA
rnacentral:tRNA from 1 species